CCUACGGGAGGCAGCAGUGGGGAAUAUUGCACAAUGGGGGAAACCCUGAUCCAGCAACGCCGCGUGAGUGAAGAAGUAUUUCGGUAUGUAAAGCUCUAUCAGCAGGGAAGAAAAUGACGGUACCUGAGUAAGAAGCCCCGGCUAACUACGUGCCAGCAGCCGCGGUAAUCCGUAGGGGGCAAGCGUUAUCCGGAUUUACUGGGUGUUAAGGGAGCGUAGACGGCGAUACAAGUCUGAAGUGAAAGCCCGGGGCGCAACCCCGGGACUGCAUUGGAAACUGUGUUGCUGGAGUGCAGGAGAGGCAAGCGGAAUGCCUAGUGUAGCGGUGAAAGGCGUAGAUAUUAGGAAGAACACCAGUGGCGAAGGCGGCUUGCUGGACGGUAACUGACGUUGAGGCUCGAAAGCGUGGGGAGCAAACAGGAUUAGAUACCCCUGUAGUC
rnacentral:rRNA from 1 species